UUUCCCUUCCUGAGGAGUGAUGCUGUGAUGAUGUACGAUUCAUUUGAUCCGUUUGAUUCAUUUAGUUCAACAUUUUAAUGUUAUAUUUGGGAUUUAUUUAUUUGUAUUGUAGUCUACAUUAGUUGUAUAAAAAUCAAAAUGAAGUGAAGACAAUAAAGCAAAAUGAGGACAUGUUUUCAGCGUCACCGACUGCUUCUACUUUUCCUUUUCCUAUCAGAGAUCUUCAGCUCUGUUGGUGGAUCUUCAGUUCAGGAGGUGAUCGGUGCUGUAGGCGAGUCUGUUACAUUCACUACCAGUGUACCUGUUUCUGGAAAUCUAAUUUAUAAAGGAGGCACAGUUGGACAGGUGUUGAAUAAACAGAGUGACACAAACACCAGUGAGAAGUUUAUGAAUCGUCUUGAUUGGGUCAGUCAGAGUGGGUUCUUCACUCUCUCAGACCUGAGAACAGAUGAUUCAGGACUUUACACAGUGGAGAGCCUUAAAGAGCCGAAAGGAAGACAGGAUUAUCAGCUGGAGGUGUACGAGAGAGUUUCAGCUCCUCAGGUGAAGAACACAACCUACAAUUCUUCAGAGUUGUGUUCAUUCCUGUGUUCUGUGAGGAACGUCAGAGGACUGAAGCUGGAUUUGUAUGAAGACGAUGUUUUAUUAAAUCACACCAGCAGCAGCAACACAUCCGACACCACACUGAAUCUUCAUCUAGAAAUAAAGAAGACGGACGAUCACAGACGGAGAACCUUCAGCUGUGUGGCUUCCAACCGAGUCAGUACCGAGAAAACCACGAUCGACAUCACACACUACUGCUCUCUGAACACAGAUAUUGAUGAUGAUAAUCAGAAAAGAAACGUGAUCAUUCCCGUUGUGGUUUCUGUGCUGUCUGUCCUGGCAGUAAUCGUGACGUUUGUGUAUCUGCGGAAAAGGAAGCGUGAAUCCCGUCGGCGUACAGAAGGCAGACUCAUCUGCAACUGAAGGACUGAAUGAAGAAGUACAGUAUUCUGUGAUAAAUCAUAAAAAACCCACUCAGGCAAAUAUACGAGAACGUGUCCCUGAGGAAGCAUGUCCACUAACGACGAUUUAUGACCAAAUCAGACCAGAGAGGUCUGAGUACAGCAAUAGCGGACCUGAAUAAAGCAGAACUGAACAGAGCUUAUCUUAUUAUUUUGUUUGGAAAAUAAAACAUUUCACAAAGACA